rnacentral:rRNA from 1 species
UAGGGAAUCUUCCACAAUGGACGCAAGUCUGAUGGAGCAACGCCGCGUGAGUGAAGAAGGGUUUCGGCUCGUAAAGCUCUGUUGUUAAAGAAGAACGUGGGUAAGAGUAACUGUUUACCCAGUGACGGUAUUAACCAGAAAGCCACGGCUAACUACGUGCCAC